GUCCUCUUCUGACUACACACCAUUCACAUACUCUGGUCUGGAACAUCAACAACAGACACAUGCAGAGUAAUACAGAUGGUGAUAGUGUAAUACUAAAUACCAACACUCCUGGAAUGCAGCUUGGUUCACCUAAAAGAAAAGAAGAUAUCAUGGUGGCAGUUGAUGUGAUGACUCUCAGUAGAAGGCCUUCCAUAAAGCACAAGACCUCAGACUCUCUGAAGAUGAUGCAACGAGAAUUGAAUCCACAUCCUGGCACUGUUCUUAAGGAGCCGAGUCCUUUGAUAAGAUCCCUUUUCCUCGACUGCAUCUGCAGCUUCUUUUUUUCUACAAAUAAACAUAUUAAACGGAAGAAAAAUGGAAACUUGGAAAAAUGGAGACUUAUAUCAGAAAACGGCUAACCUUGUGGAAAGGAUGUUAUCCUGCUGUGAGAAACAUUCUUUUCUUUUCUGUGAAAAAAAGAAAAAAAAGACAUCAGUGCAUGCUGUUGUGAUUACUGGGGCCACACUCAGCAUCUUUAUAGAUAGCUUUUUCCCAACAUUGUAAUUAUCGCAAGCAGGUUUAGACUAUAUCUCCUUUUUUGAGUUCCAUCUUUUCAAGUAAAUUAAUUAACAUAUAACUAAAUAUAUGUCCCAAAACUGGCAAUGAUUUUUCCCCCCUUUUCUUAGCAAUCCCAUAAUCACGUUAUAUAAAUAUAGGUUAGAUUAAAGGGGUCAUAUGAUAGAAUUUCAAGUUUUCCUGUCUCUCUGGAGUGUUACAAGCUGUUCAUGCAUAGAUUAGAUCCACGCAAAGAAAGAAGGCGUAACUUUGAUUCCCGCUGUAGUAUUGUUGCUGCCGCCGCCGCCGCCAUGUCUUGGACACGCUGUGUGUUUCCUUGUGGAAGUGAAAGUUUGGUCUUCCAAAAGAGGACACAACUAGAAAUCAGUGGUUAAGUUGUAUUUACAACACUGUUCCAGAACAGUUCAAACCAAAUAUUCAGAUUUGUGCACCCCAUUUUACGUUGACUGUUUCCUGAACCUGGGAGAGUAGCCUACAAUGCGUCUAAGCACAAAAGUUGUUUAUAUAAAGUGGGGCAAAUUCCAAAUUUGCAAGGACAGUCUGGCUCUUCUGACUCACAGCCUGUUUUUAUAUUUAAAUAAUUUGCCACUAAUGAUUCAAACGCGAGUUUUAAGCAGUGUAGAGUAAAUAAUGUUAUUUUUAGCAAUUUCAUAUGACCCCUUUAAUUUAUACAAUAAAAGCUUGUAAAUCUAUACA
ensembl:lncRNA